CCUCUAACAUGAAGAAGAGAAGUUAGAGGUGACUUUCCUUCAGCAAACAUACGUUUCCAUUAUAAACGCACGCCGCCGCGUCCUCUUGCUCUUUUCGUCGCACGUCCGCCGGCUCGUGUGGUCUGCUCGCGCCGCUGCCAGGUCCAGGAGGCUGCAGGGGACAUCGCGGCGUCUGUGGUGGCGUGAAUCGCGACGGCGUCGACACAAAUUGCAGUGGCGACGACUGGCAUCGGGUGUCGGGCCGAGUACCGGCAACGCGGGGUUUGGCGGCGCUGGUGCUGGUGCCGCCUCCUCCGGCUUCGGGUGCUCCGCAUGCGUCGCCAGCAGCACGUCCUCGCCGUCGAAGUACAAUGCCGCCGCCACAUGCGGAGGACGCUGACGAGCCGUCGUCGUUUUGGCCGAACAUCCGUCGAUUCCAUUUUCUUCUCUCCGGAUGGUGGGCGGCGUGCAGGAGCAGGCGGCGGAUCAACUCGCGGUGCCGGCGUGCCCAUAGGAUCCGGGUCCCCAUAGACUACGCUGCCCGAGCCAGGCUGAAUUCAUUCGCAUCGCACAUCUGGGUUCUGGAGUUCUCGAACCUCUCUAUUUGUUGUUGGUCAGGAGGUCUGGCUGCUGCUGCUGUUGCUGUAGCCUGUAGCCUGCGAGGCUAACGAUGUGAUGUUACGAAGUGAGAACAGAAACAGAGCGAAACGGUGAAGACUGUCUGGUAUAGCGUGUGGCAGUGGCGCAGUGACGCCACCAUGUCGCCAUUGCAGGCUAAACAGCGCAGGAGCACGAAUCAGGAGCGGCGUCUGAGACGAAGCAGCAGCAGCAGCACAGCAGGCCAGCAGUGGUGUAACGUCUUGUGAUGAAAAAGGCUUUUACGGGUCUGACACGUGAUUGUGCCGUCCGAUUUCAUUUCAUGUAUGCUCUCUUCAGUGAAGAAAAAUGCGAAUCUGUUUGUGUUCCAUUGCAGAUGAA